rnacentral:lncRNA from 1 species
ACCAUAAGUUAGGAGUGGAUGACAAGACAAUGUACCCGAAAGAUAGCAGGUCACCCUCUGCUCAGCCAGAGGGCAGGAAGAGCAUCCAGUCAACAUCCUCGGGUUUACAGGAGUGGCCUGACUGGUGAAGCCAAGAAAAGCUUUUUAAGUGGCGAAGAAAUGGUUUGGUGCCAGCAGUGGUCACAGACACACUUUCUGUAGCACCCUGCCCUGUCAUGCCCCAGAGCACUGCUGAAGCUUGGCUCUCCCAGAAUUCCUCUGGGUCUGCAACUUUUUUAGCUUUGGAACCACUCAUGCCCGUGGAGGAACCUGCAAUGUCCAGUGACCUAUGUGAAAAAAGAAAAGACAAACCAACAAAAGUUAUUUAGCUG